CCCAGGGAAGCGUUUUGUCCACGUCAGCAGAAAUCGCGUCCUUGAGGGCGCGCUUUGCUGACGUGGACAAAAUGCUUCCCCGGGG
rfam:Gossypium arboreum cultivar AKA8401 contig_43600_1, whole genome shotgun sequence.